rnacentral:rRNA from 1 species
CAGCCGCCGCGGUAAUACGGAGGGCGCGAGCGUUACCCGGAUUUACUGGGCGUAAAGGGCGUGUAGGCGGCCUGGGGCGUCCCAUGUGAAAGGCCACGGCUCAACCGUGGAGGAGCGUGGGAUACGCUCAGGCUAGAGGGUGGGAGAGGGUGGUGGAAUUCCCGGAGUAGCGGUGAAAUGCGCAGAUACCGGGAGGAACGCCGAUGGCGAAGGCAGCCACCUGGUCCACUUCUGACGCUGAGGCGCGAAAGCGCGGGGAGCAAACCGGAUUAGAUACCCCCGUAGUCCCUGUCUCUUAUAC